UGGGGAAUCUUGCGCAAUGGGCGAAAGCCUGACGCAGCAACGCCGCGUGAGCGAAGAAGGCCUUCGGGUUGUAAAGCUCUGUCAGGAGGGACGAAGCCACUCGGGUGAACAGCCCAGAGGGUGACGGUACCUCCAGAGGAAGCCCCGGCUAACUACGUGCCAGCAGCCGCGGUAAUACGUAGGGGGCGAGCGUUGUCCGGAAUCGUUGGGCGUAAAGCGCGUGUAGGCGGCUUGGCACGUCUGGUGUGAAAGCUCGAGGCUCAACCUCGGGUCUGCACCGGAAACUGCCUUGCUAGAGUCCGGAAGAGGAGACUGGAAUUCCUUGUGUAGCGGUGAAAUGCGCAGAUAUCAGGAAGAACACCGGUGGCGAAGGCGGGUCGCUGGGACGGUACUGACGCUGAGACGCGAAAGCGUGGGGAGCAAACA
rnacentral:rRNA from 1 species